rnacentral:rRNA from 1 species
CGCCUGGGGAGUGCGGCCGCAAGGUUAAAACUCAAAUGAAUUGACGGGGGCCCGCACAAGCGGUGGAGCAUGUGGUUUAAUUCGACGCAACGCGAAGAACCUUACCUGGCCUUGACAUGCAGAGAACUUUCCAGAGAUGGAUUGGUGCCUUCGGGAACUCUGACACAGGUCCUGCAUGGCCGUCGUCAGCUCGUGUCGUGAGAUGUUGGGUUAAGUCCCGUAACGAGCGCAACCCCUAUCCCUAGUUGCUAGCAGUUCGGCUGAGAACUCUAGGGAGACUGCCGGUGACAAACCGGAGGAAGGUGGGGAUGACGUCAGGUCUUCAUGGCCCUUACGGCCAGGGCUACACACGUGCUACAAUGGUGCGUACAGAGGGCUGCAAACCCGCGAGGGGGAGCUAAUCUCACAAAACGCAUCGUAGUCCGGAUCGGAGUCUGCAACUCGACUCCGUGAAGUCGGAAUCGCUAGUAAUCGCGAAUCAGAAUGUCGCGGUGAAUACGUUCCCGGGCCUUGUACACACCGCCCGUCACACCAUGGGAGUGGAUUGCACCAGAAGUGGUUAGUCUAACCUUCGGGAGGACGAUCAACACGGUGUGGUUCAUGACUGGGGUGAAGUCGUAACAAGGUAACCGUA